rnacentral:lncRNA from 1 species
AAAAAGUUCAUCCAUUUUUAUCAUCAUCAAAGUGAUAUUAGACUUGUGACAUGCCCACAUAACUCCUUCAAUCUAAAUCUAAAGAAUAUAUUCUAUAAAAAGGAGCCUGCACAUUUUAAGCUGUUUCUUGAAACUUUAGAAAGGACUGGUGAGGUGGCUUAGUGGGCAAAAGUACUUGAUGAGCAAGUCUGAACUCUUUAACCCAAUCCUUGGAACACGCAUAAAAGUGGAGAGAGGAUUGACCCCACAGACUUGUCCUCUGAUUUACACAUGUAUGGAUGUGCAUGUGUACAUACAUACAUACAUACACACACACACAUAACCACACACACAUACAUACACAUACCCCCCCCCACAGAGACUAUUUUAAUAAAUAUUUUUAAACAGAACCUUGCGAUGCAAACUAGGUAACAUGAUUUACACGUAUGGAAGCUUGGAUUCAACCCUGAAACUCAUGUAAAGAUGAAAGCAGAGAACUGACUCCACUUAUGACCUCCACGUGUAUGCCUGGUCAUAUACACACUUAUACAUAUCACACACAUACACACACUCACCUGAACACACCUUUAUACAAUGUUCAUAGUAAAAACAUAAAAGCCCUUGGGGAAAACACAGUACUCCUAUGAUUGCUUCUUUCUGCAUUGUUUUUUGGUUUUUCCUUAUCAAAAAUGCUGCAUUUGUAGGGAACAUUGAGCUAUAAGAUCUCCUAAAUUUAACUUUUAAACUCAAAGUGUAAUCAGCAUAGCUGCACUCCCACACACCUUCUAUUUUACCAACUUUACACCCCCCAAAAGGUUGUCAGCAGCAGAGAUGUUGGGCAGAAGCCCAGUAAGGGGUGGCCCCAGCGUUAUUUAUCAGUUUACAGGUUGCAGAAUAAAGUACAUGUGAUAAUUGAUUUCCUCUUCAUCAGCCUUUGAGGCUGAUAACUCAAUUAGCAUGUCAAAUAUUGACUACAUAGCUCUUUCAAAAAUCCUCAAAGAUGUUUUUUUUUUUUUUUAUUUUGUAUUAAGGUGUGAGAGAAAUGUUUGUUGUUCCUUAUAUUUUAUUAAAAGUUCCUUUGAGUGGUUCCAAAACAAAAAGUAGUAUUACCUUAAUAUCUGUGCUUCUUUCUUUUUGAAAUCUGUACGUUUCAAGAAAGAAUAGUAGUAUUUUAAAGCAGGAAGAUAAAUAAUAAUUUUAAACUCAUGGGCAAAAUAAUUGUGAUUUCCCUAUCACCAACUGAAAGAGGACACAUUCAUGAUUGCCAUGGUUCUUGUACUUGAUAGCAUAAAUUGCUGAGUUGGGGUAAGGGCCAAAGUGUUGAUGAGGGAAAGUCUGGUCCACAGCUGAAUUUUGUUUUUUGAGACAGUGAAUUUGGUUUGGCAUAGUCAUCAGAGAAAACAAAUGGGCACACAGCCUUCCUCAUACAUAUUAGCUGCAUAAACAAAACUCAAAAUAUGGGCACACUAUUUCUAUUCAACCUUUCUCCUGUUUUCAUUGCUAAGCCACUUAAUGACACUCAUUGAAAUGGUGGCUUUAACCAUGAAAAACUGUUUUCUUUAAUCAUAAAUUCCUUAUAGAAAAUAUAGUACCAAAGUCAAGAAAUAAAGCUACCAGUUAUUUGGUUAAGUAGUUAGUAGCUAAUGAGGAUACUGCCUUUGAAAAAUAAUCUGUGUAUUGGCAGACCUAUUUGAAAGAUCCAUCUGUGCUGUAGUUUCCAUACUAAAACACAAAAACAUGUAAUACUUAUUUAGCCUUGAAAUAUAAAGUCAGUAUAAACGUUGCAUUUUCUUUUCUAAAAUAAUAUGAAUACUGUACCCUCUGUUAGGUAUUAAUAAGUUACUUCUUGAUAAUGGUUUGAAUUGGCUAGACAACCCUUGCCUUUCAUAAGUCCAUUAUGAGGACAUUAUAAAAAUAUCCCAGAGUAUCACGGGAAAGAAAAUUUUCUAGCCUUUGAAGACAAAACAAUAAAAAUGUGGGUUUAUGCAAUCAAGAGAACACCUUAAUGGGCGUUCUUCCUUCUAAAUUCAUCCAAUUGCACUAUAAUUCCAUUCCAUGAAUAUAUUUUGUAAUGUUACCAUAGUGAAUUCUCAGAUGGUUUUCCUUUGUAUAUAUUAAUUGGGUUUAAUUAUUUUGCUACCCAGAACUUGCUUUGCUUUUUUUGAAAGCCCCCUUCAUGUUUUUAUUUGCAGAUUAUACACUUUAGCUCUCAGCUUUUGUGCUUGUUAUAGGUUCAGGAUCAAGCCAUGUAAGGCUUUGCAUUCUACUAGGCUUCAGUGAUCAAUUCAAGUUCAGGACAUUAGACCCAAGUAGAACAAAAGAGAUAGAAUGAAACUUAAGUGAGCACUUCUGGUAAAAAGGCUUAUGCUCUUGUUAAUGGACAUAGAGUUAUCUAACUGUAAAUUGUACCUUUAGAGUUGUAUAAUAUGAAAUGCAUUAGACCAAAAACUAAGGCCAAGAAUGAAAAAUUAGAGAUCUGAUACAUUCCUUAAGUUAUCAGUAUAGAUAUAUUUACCUUGGUUUAUGUAGUAUAAUAAAUUACCUCCUGUUUAAGUGCUUGAGGUUUUAUUUUCUGUCACAUGUGCCUUAAAAUACCCAUUUGACCAUCCCUGCUAAGUCUGAUGCUUUAUAUUUAACUUAGUCUGAAAGUUAAAUCUUUGAACAUAUGCAGGGGAGUUGGUGGGUGAGCUAACAUUGACAGUGG